CUUACAGCCUCACACCCCCAUCCUGAGUGCCAGGGACUGAUUCUUAUCCCUAUGGACUACUCACAGGCCACCCCACAAUAGGGCCCCCCAAUACACCCCUGCAGCCUGCAUCCUUACCUCUUCAGAGUGGGAAUAUCCAGGCUCACUUUCUCUAAGUUCUUUGCUCAUAGACAUGAUGCUAGGUUUGUUUGCUUUAAAACAAAGAGGUAGUCAUGGAAUUUACUAGUUAACUCAUUUUUUAAAGCCUCUUCCAAUUUUACCAUGAGGGAUUGGAAUUUGCAUCCAAUUUGUAUUUGCGAAGAUUUAUAAAGAACACAAAAUGCAAAUAAGCUGAUCAUGGGGAAAUGACCUGCAGGAGGCAUUGCAAAUCCUUUUCUAACACAUGCUCUGCAGUUCUACAUUCUUGCCUCUUAUGGGCAUACCAGAAAUACUUUAUUUAGUUAAAGUGAAUGGAAAGAUCCAGCACUUGGAAAGAAUUGUCACUAGCCUUGUUUGUUCCAAUAAACAACUAAAUUUCUUAUUGCUCAAUAAAAAUCAAAACUGACUGUAAAAACCAGAAAACAUAAAAUCUUGGACUGUGUUUGGGGCUGAUGGAUAUUUCCAGACUCUUACGAUGAUGAUCCUGAAGGAGAAGCCGAUUUAGGUUUCCACAAUGUCAGUGAAAAUGGAAAACCUGCUACAAAUUGGCCAAAAGUUUUUCCAAUUCCAAUUCCAAUUUGUAUGUAUUGAAAGAUUUUGGGCCCGUGGAACAGCCUUAGAUGGGAAGCCAGCUGACAUCAUCGCAAGUUUGAAGACUCCUUCUGCAGAAUUCUGUAAUUAACAAUAACAUCAGGUAAAACAGCAAGAAUUUGAAAUUUCAUCAUGGUUUCAUUUCUCUUAACGCUGGGUCUGUGGCAUAUUUUAAAGAUUCAUUUGCCUGAAACAGACUUUAGCUAUGUCUGUGUAAGCCAAAUGAAGAAGAGAUCUGAGUUAAGCAAUUGUCUGAUCAUGGCAAACAUGAACAACAAGAAUAUGGCACGGGAGAACUUACCCUUCCAACAGGAUUCUCUGUAGAAGAUACUGGUCUAGCCACGUGGGGAGAGAUGAAUGAAUAUGGUACAUGGAUAACAUUGAGGGCUUGUGGUAGACAGAAUUCCAAAAUGGAUCUUCAAGAUUACCUGCCCUAAUCCCUUGAACUGUACGUCUGGCCAGAGACCCAUUUAACAAUGAGAUAGAACAACCUGGAAUUCUACUGAUUUCCACUGCAAUGAAAUUGUGACAAAGGGGCUGAACCAAGACUCUCUGGAAAUGUCAACUGAUUUCAUCCAUUUUUCAACAGAGAGAGAGACACAGCGUGAGAGGGAACACAAGCAGGGGGAGUGGGAGAGGGAGAAGCAGGCUUCCCGUGGAGCAGGCAGCCCGAUGCGGGGCUCGAUCCCAGGACCCCGGGAUCAUGACCUGAGCUGAAGGCAGACGCUUGACGACUGAGCCACCCAGGCGCCCCUACAAUACUGCAGCUUUAUUAUACUCCUAAGAAACCUCAAAAUAAUUUUGCAUCUGUGUGACCAAUGCACAGGCUCAUGCUUUUACCUCAUUAGUAACCAUUCAUGGCACUGCCAACUCUCAUUGGCGGGAUGCUCUGGUCUUCUACUGUAUUUUGAAAAUCAACAUAUUCUUUAAUAUACCAGAUUUAAAUAUGUUA